rnacentral:rRNA from 1 species
GCGGCGGACGGGUGAGUAACACGUGGGCAACCUACCCUAUAGUUUGGGAUAACUCCGGGAAACCGGGGCUAAUACCGAAUAAUCUUUUGUCUCUCAUGAGACAAUUCUGAAAGACGGUUUCGGCUGUCGCUAUAGGAUGGGCCCGCGGCGCAUUAGCUAGUUGGUGAGGUAACGGCUCACCAAGGCAACGAUGCGUAGCCGACCUGAGAGGGUGAUCGGCCACACUGGGACUGAGACACGGCCCAGACUCCUACGGGAGGCAGCAGUAGGGAAUCUUCCACAAUGGGCGAAAGCCUGAUGGAGCAACGCCGCGUGAGUGAAGAAGGAUUUCGGUUCGUAAAACUCUGUUGUAAGGGAAGAACAAGUACAGUAGUAACUGGCUGUACCUUGACGGUACCUUAUUAGAAAGCCACGGCUAACUACGUGCCAGCAGCCGCGGUAAUACGUAGGUGGCAAGCGUUGUCCGGAAUUAUUGGGCGUAAAGCGCGCGCAGGUGGUUUCUUAAGUCUGAUGUGAAAGCCCACGGCUCAACCGUGGAGGGUCAUUGGAAACUGGGAGACUUGAGUGCAGAGAGGAUAGUGG